GCCCCCACGCAGGGAAAGCCAAGUGGGACCCAGGGUGGUCCUUGGGGAGCCCUCCACCCAGGCUCCAGCUCCGGCCCGCCCGCUGGCCAGGACAUUACCUGUUCCCAGAACGCCAUCUGCCCCAGAGGCCAUUCACCCUGGCGGCAGGCUGGGCCAGAAAGCAAGUGCCCAGCCCCAGAGCCAAGAGUGAGGCAUGAAUGAUGCCACCAGAAUGCCACACGUCCUCAACUCGGGCUGCCUGAAGCACAGAUACUGUGGCUCCCCUGAGUUGGCCCUUUGACCAUGGAGUCCACCGUCCCCAAGGAGGUGCUGGGGACAGAGGCAUUGGCUCAGCAGCGUGAGGAUUUCUGUUUGCAGACAGGACGGUGCAACACACAGGAUGCGAAGAACAGUAGCAGGCACGGAAAAGGCCCCAAAUAACAUCUUCCACGGAUGUCACUGUGGCCUCGGUCGCUGUUCUUCCUGCCGCUGCCGCCCAGCCUGCAGGUCUCUCCCACCUUGGGUAAAUAACCCUUCCCCACCUUUGGCAAGCCGGGCCACCUGGCAGUACAUGCAGGGCUCAGGUCACUGCCCACGCCCACCCAUGCAUGCCCAGGUAGGACACACACACUCUCUCUCACACACACUUACACUCGCACUUACACACACAACACACACACUCAUUCACACUCACACUCAACACACACAACACACACACUCAACUCACACUCGCACUCAACACACACAACACACACACUCAACACACACUCGCACUCACACACAAAACACACACACUCAUUCACACAUUCACACUCACACUCAACACACACACGACACUCACACACAAAACACAUUCUCUCUCACACACACACACACACUCACAGACACACCCAAAACACACACACUCAUUCACACAUUCACACACACUCACACUCAACACACACACGACACUCACACACAAAACACAUUCUCUCUCUCACACACACACACACACACACACUCACACCCCUUAGCCUGGUGUCUUGAGCCAAGUACGAGGCUGCGAAGGUCUCCCUCUAGUGGCCCAGAAACAGUAGAUGCUCACGCAGGCCUGACUUAACCCACUGGAGGAAGCCGAGGGAACUCCUCUGCCCUGGGCUGCAG
rnacentral:lncRNA from 1 species